UCCUGCCAAUGUAUUCAAUGAUGAUAUAUAAAGCUGAGAGCAGAAAUUGACAUCUAUAAUAUCAAAGCUAAAAUUUGACUUACCAUCUUGAAGAGCUUUUUAGAGAUCGGGGUCAUCGGCGAUUUAAUAAGACAUUCUAUUUUUGGUCUCACGUCGCAAGCAAUGAAAACAAACAUUGACAUAAGAUUGACGAUUUUUUUUUUUCGUCUCGAAGAACGAUUUUACGGAACACUCAACAAACCGUUUCAAGGAUUUAACUACACGUUAGCACAAUAACCAAAAAUUAAAUACUUUUUGUCUUUAUAAACGUUUGGAAGGCGUGAAGACUGAGCUCAAGUGUGCCAAGCUUGCCGGGCAAUGUUCCAAAAUUAAAACAACUACAAAUACGCUUGAUAUGUUUGUGUGAGUUAAAAAUAUAAAUUCGCUGUCCAGUUAAUGUUGAUCUCUCGAAUAAAAGUAAACAUGACUGUAAUUGUUUUUAAAAAAUGUUUAAAACAAAAAACUUUGAAAAAUUAUAUAAAAUUGUAUUUAAUUUUACAUCACGUACUGUACUUUAUUUUUAUGAGAAUAAAUCACUUUAUAUCGCGCUGCAGAACCAUUACGCUCAUCAUGUAGAUAAUCAAACUAUAAUUUCUACAAAACUUUGUGAAUGCGCAAAUACGUUGAUAAUGGUGCCAGUCAAAAAGUGACCGCAAAUACUUUUACUUAAAAUUAUUUUAAUUAAUUUUCCAAACAAAAAUAAUCAUUUACUUCUGGAUUAUUGAUUGAAAUGAAAUAUAAUUCACAUCAAGAAAAACGCAUAUAGAAAAUAUGAGAAGCUAUGGCUGCUGAAACCUACUCGGCCACAAUUACUUAGCAACAGCAUUUUCUGUGAGUGCACGUAGAACAAAGAAGAAAAUGACAGAACAUUUACGAGACUAUCUACUGAAUUCAUUAUUUUCAAAUGCCUGUUAUGAUUAUGAAUGCAAUAGUUAAUUCAACGAUUUUGCUAUGUAGUUUUUCAGGCGCUCAAAUAAAUGUUUAAAAUUUUGCUAUUUUAAAAUGACUAUGUACUUACAAAAUAGACUAAUAGACUUACACUAUUUCAUAUUUUUGAAGCAUGUUAUUACAUUAUCAGUAGUAUAUUGUGCUUUUACUUUGUAUUGAUAAAAAUCCAUAAUUAUACAUUUUAAUUACUGUAAAUUAAAAUUAUAAAUUGACAUAAAUGUGAUUGAUACAGCGGGACAUUUGCUUGUUCCUAAAGAACGCAAA